rnacentral:rRNA from 1 species
GACGAACCGUGCGAACGUUGUUCGGAAUCACUGGGCUUAAAGGGCUCGUAGGCGGCUCGCUAGGUCGGUGGUGAAAUCCCGCAGCUUAACUGCGGAAGGGCCUCCGAUACCGGCGGGCUGGAGGAAGGUAGGGGUGCGCGGAACUUCUGGUGGAGCGGUGAAAUGCGUUGAUAUCAGAAGGAACGCCGGCGGCGAAAGCGGCGCACUGGACCUUUUCUGACGCUGAGGCGCGAAAGCUAGGGGAGCAAACGGG